GACGAACGCUGGCGGCGUGCUUAACACAUGCAAGUCGAGCGGUAAGGCUCCUUCGGGAGUACACGAGCGGCGAACGGGUGAGUAACACGUGAGUAACCUGCCCCAUUCACCGGAAUAACCAGUGGAAACGCUGGCUAAUGCCGAAUACGACCACCGAAGGCAUCUUCUGGUGGUGGAAAGCUCCGGCGGAGUGGGAUGGACUCGCGGCCUAUCAGCUUGUUGGUGAGGUAACGGCUCACCAAGGCGACGACGGGUAGCCGGCCUGAGAGGGUGACCGGCCACACUGGGACUGAGACACGGCCCAGACUCCUACGGGAGGCAGCAGUGGGGAAUAUUGGACAAUGGGCGAAAGCCUGAUCCAGCAACGCCGCGUGAGGGAUGACGGCCUUCGGGUUGUAAACCUCUUUCAGCAGGGACGAAGCGAAAGUGACGGUACCUGCAGAAGAAGGACCGGCCAACUACGUG
rnacentral:rRNA from 1 species